rnacentral:rRNA from 1 species
UGAGUACAACGUGGGUAACUUGCCUUCGAGUGGGAAUAACCCUCCGAAAGGAGGGCUAAUACCGCAUAAUAUCCGACUCACACAAGUGAGAUGGAUCAAAGGUGGCCUCUGUUUCAUGCUACCGCUUGAAGAUGGGCCCGCGCCCCAGUUAGCUAG